AAUAAAAGAAGCUAGCGACACAAGCGACGCUUGUGAUGCAUGUGAUGCAUGUGACGCACGUGACACAUGUGACGCAUGUGACGCAUGUGACGCAUGUGACGCACUUUUUGCGUUUUUUGUGAUUUUUUGUUUUGCUUUUUUUACUNUUUGUCGUUUUUUGGUAAACCUAAUAAAAGAAGCUAGCGACACAAGCGACGCUUGUGAUGCAUGUGAUGCAUGUGACGCAUGUGACGCACUUUUUGCGUUUUUUGUGAUUUUUUAUUUUCUUAUUUUUCUGUUUGGUAAGGAAGUUUAAUAAAUAACGCAAGUGAAAAUAAUACUGUACGUGACGCCUGUGUCAAACAUGUUGCAAUUCCCUUAUAUUUCACCAGUCAAAAACAUAAAAUCUGUUAACAAAGUAAGGUUAAAGAAACCAGCACGUAAAGAGAGUAACGCGAGUGAUACUCUUGUUGCUUGUAAAGCACUUGACGCAAGAGAAAUACUUGCCAUAGUUUUCGUUUAUAGUAAAUAAGAAAGAAAGUAGAGAGCACUAAGUCAGACAUAAGGAGAAAUCGCAAACUCAUUAUUCUUUGUUACGGUAUAUAUACCGUAACAACAGUUUUCGACUUUGUUAAAUGAAUAAGUUAAGAGCACUAGUCUUUCAGUAACACACGUGCUUUGGUCCCUUCUCUGAAGGGUCCCCCCGUACUAAACAAAUUUUUAUAUAUAAUAUACUUAGGUUCGUUAGGCUGUUGUUUAUAAAUACAAAAGUAUUUAUGAUAUAAAAGUUUUACGUUGGAGUACGCUCACUGGUGUAACCUCAGGUGAGCGGAGGAAUUAAAUUAUUGGUAAGUAGAGGUUUUGUAUGGUAAUGUAGCUCUUGAACGUAAAGCGUUAAGCACCGGAGCAAGCAAACCAUACAAGGGCGGAAUAAACAUAGUAAUUAAGUAAGCUGAGUUAAGCUAUAUACAAUAUUACGUUGUAAUCGCUAACUUUCUAAUCUCAGGAACAAAUGGCCAGAGAUCCCACGCGCUUACUAGGUCUAAUGCGUUAAUGCUUCUCUUUACUAGCACAUUAAGACACUACUUGGGUAGAUACCUUCGGCUGUGUUACUAAAAUACUUAACUAUAUAUAGAGGAAAUAAAAUUAAAAGCAACCUCUUUGAUUGGUUUAACAAAUUCGCAUGGGGCAAUUCGUGCUACUUUUGUCAGUACUGAUAAACGUUUUAGGACUCUUGUUAUUGUUGACAGUAAGAAGGAAGCACAGCGCCUCUUCAAAGUUUUACUCAAUUUCUUGGGAGAACCUUUCGAGGAAACGACACUAACGUAUUCCGAAGGCUACAAACGCCCGGCAAAAACAAAACGCACUAUCCCUCUUGAUGGCGUAGCCUUAAUAAAGCAACU
rnacentral:lncRNA from 1 species